UUUGGCUGGAUCGGAUACAGGUGCUGCAUGGCUGUCGUCAGCUCGUGUCGUGAGAUGNUGGGUUAAGUCCCGCAACGAGCGCAACCCUCGCCCUUAGUNGCCAGCAUUUAGUUGGGCACUCUAGGGGGACUGCCGGUGAUAAGCCGGAGGAAGGUGGGGAUGACGUCAAGUCCUCAUGGCCCUUACGGGCUGGGCUACACACGUGCUACAAUGGUAGUGACAAAGGGCAGCGAGAUCGCGAGGUCGAGCUAAUCUCCAAAAGCUAUCUCAGUUCGGAUUGUUCUCUGCAACUCGAGAGCAUGAAGUUGGAAUCGCUAGUAAUCGCAGAUCAGCAUGCUGCGGUGAAUACGUUANCCGGGCCUUGUACACACCGCCCGUCACACCAUGGGAGUUGGUUCUACCCGAAGGCGAUGCGCUAACCGUAAGGGGGCAGUCGAACCACGGUAGGGUCAGCGAGCUG
rnacentral:rRNA from 1 species